rnacentral:lncRNA from 1 species
CUUCCAUUAUUUCUCAAAUGCUUUCUAGCAUAUUCUGUCUUUAUAUUCAACUAUUUAUCAUUUAAUCCUCGUUAUAGUACAUAACACUCACUGCUUCUUGAUUUUUAUUUGUAAGUCUACUACAAAGCAACUUAUUAACAAAAACACUUGAGAAUUUAAUUCCUCCUAUAUUCCGCCAUCACAAAAGAUCUAUGGCAGGUUCAAUGAGCCUUCCAUUUGUCCUUGAUCUUAAAAACUGAUUAUUGUUCUUCCAUAAACAGGUUCAAGAAAACAAAUAAAUAGCCCAAAACAAAAUUUAAUCCCUUUCCUAGGUUCUUCUAUGCAUCACCAUCUAUCCCUAGAUAGUCAGACCUCAAGUCUAGUGUUGCUUAAGUGCCUUAAAUAACAGUUGGGCGAUGUUUGGUUGCUGAAUAGCCAACCACCCUCUAAAUAGAUUUAACCAUUAGUGUUUAGCUCCUAACCAAGGAACAAGUGAAUAAAGUUGUUUGCUAUUUGGUCGGUGCUUAAUCCACCAUUAAUGCCACUGCUAAGAGGAAGGGAGGUAGCAACACACCUCUGGAGAGCUCGUGGCAACCAAGAGACACUACUAGAGCCGGAGAAGAAGGCAGCUGCUACACGAUAGGGACAGGGCAUCCAUGGUUCAAGGUCGAAGAAGAUGAUAAUUGAAAAGUCAAGGCAAGAUCAGGCAUGAAGGAGACCUCAGCAACCAAUGCCAAUCCAAGAUCCAGCAGUGGUGGUUCUCUGGCCAGCCAAACCCAACACAGAGGAAGAUAGACUGAAUUGGGCUCAAACAAGGACUACAAAAAAUCCACAGCAGCUACUCAACCAUGAACAAGGCUCAUGAAGGGACCCAUGCAUGUGUCUCAAGUCACCAACAAGAGGCGACAAAGCAGCCAGCGAGAGGGCCUCUACAAAUCUGGAACCAAGGAGAAAAGAGAGAGGUAGCAGUGACUCAGGGACAGUGAGGUGAAAGUGAAAAGGAAUGAUAAAUUACCGACACCAGGGGUAAAAAGGGGGUAAAAUAAAGGCUAGAGGAGCUUCCAGCCCCAUGAAUAAAGUUAGCCAGGUUAACUGGCUUUUCUCCCCUUUCACUGAACAAAGUUAUCCGUCAACUUUUUUGGUGUUGUUUGGCUGGUUAAGCUGGUAACUUUCUCUUAUCCACCACCUAACCAGGAAUCGAACACUGCCUUAAUAUUUGCAUUAUCAGAUAAAAUCAAUUUUUUUCCCAUUUUCAUUCCAUUUUAAUAUCUUCAAGUAAGAUGUCUUCUCGAACUUUUUAUUACAUACAUUUACUAUUCACAAGAGUUCUACAUACUUUUCAAUCAUAAAAAAGAGUUCUACAUACUUUCUGAGUUAUUAUUUACAUGUACCACAUAAAUUUAUAUUUCUAUUUACUUUCUUAUGUUAUCAAUCGAAUAGUCACCAAGAACUGGACUUUCUAUUUACUUCUGAAGGUGAAUGUGACUGCAGCCUAUAGUGAUAAAAUAUUUGUUAGUUUGCAAAAGUAGUUACUUUUUGUGCAACUUGUUGUAAAUAUGUCCUUUAUUAUGCUACAACUAUGGAGGCGGUGGCAGUGGGAAAUCUGUUUUGGUGCUUAAGGAAAGAAGAUUGGCAGUGAAUGUUAAGGUACAAGAUAGAGGUAGGUGGAGAGAUAGCGGGGAAAGUUAAGGACCUGAAAGCAUCCAUAGUCACGGUACAAGAUUUAUCAAAGUUCACAUAAGACUAAAUAUAUAAAAAAAAUACAUCAGUAAAUGUCUUUCCCUAAAAUACAAAACUCUCUUGUGGGGCAGUGAUAACAAGAAGUUUCCUAGCGGCACGGAGUGCAACUCUGUCUCCCAAAAUCCCAUUUUUUCCCUCUUAUUUCUAGUGUCUCGCUAUCGAGUACUUACUUUCCUUCGUUCCGCUUUUUAAUUUCCCCCCUUAAUUAAAAAAAAAAAAAAAAAGCGUCUAACAAUUUUUGUUGUCAAUGUAGGCACUAAUGCGGUCCAAGAAACCAACAAAUCGCUCUUUCUUUCAUGAGCAACCAAACAUUAGGCACUAAUGCUAUCCUAACACCGUCCCAUUUUCCAUACGCUCCAAUCCAUGAAUAAAUCCUGGUAACUCCUCAGGAACCAACCUAACAUCACCAACCAUUCCCCGCCCAUGAACAAGUAAAUAGAUCAAAAUGCAACCACCACUAAAUGGAAAGAGACGUUUGAGCACGAUAGUAGCGGCAAGAGGUGUUCUCAUACCUUCUUCUCCGCGUAGGACGUCCUCCUCUGGGAGAAGGAGAGGUAGAGAAGGAGGAGGAGGACGGGCCUGCCAUGGCGAUGGGAGCCGGGAACACCUCCGUGGGUCCAAAACGCCGACAAUGUUUGGUUUGGUGGGGGAUGGGAAGCAGACGGAAGAAAAGAAAAAGGCAAAAAGAAAAGGCGUCUUCCUCCCUCCCUCCGAAACCCUAACAGAAAUUAAAACAAGGCCCUCUCUCUCUUGGUUGGCUUUCUUUCUUUUUAGGCGGAGAAAGAGAGAGAAAGAGAGACAGACGACAGAGAGAGACAGCGUCAUGUCAGCUGUUUUCCCUGCCGACGAGGCUGCCUGUCUGCUCUAUUCCUUGCUCUCGUUUUUUU